rnacentral:lncRNA from 1 species
UUUCACUCUCAAACUAAUUUUGGGUUUGAAUGGUUUCAAAAAGCAGGAGUUCUACAUAAGAAUGCUCCGGAAGAAGAGCGAAGGUGCCGCGACUUGGAUCUAUUUGUGUGUGCUUUUCAGUGGAAGGCUUCAUAUCUAUUCGCUGGGUUUUGUCCAUGUGAUAUUUGUAGAGAAACUAAACACUAUUUCUGAAACGACUGACUGUAGCGUGGAAGAAUUUGGGAGGAACUGAUAAUUAAGCUCUUGUGGUCUAUUCAACAUAUUAUAUAUUAUGUAUGCUCCAAAUUGCUAUUAUUUUUGUUAGUAUUUGUGCCCUGUUCAAAUCUUAGAAUUGUUGUUAUUGUUGGGAUAAUAAGUGUUUUAAACUGUCAGUGUUAUUGUCACUUCAGUCUGCAUCUGUGUCAUUACUGCAUGAGAAUUGUUGUUAUCUAUAUGUACCACUACAUCUAUAUCAAUACUGUUGUCCCUGUGAUCCAGUGCCCUUGGGGACUAACCGAAUGCAUAAGAGUGACGUGGAUUGCAUACUGGCAGGGAUUUGGUCCCCAAGUAGUUUUGGUGUCAAGCGGGGAUCACUCAAUCCUCUAGAGGAUUAAAUCCACUAGAGGAUUAAUUUUGCUACAACCGAACAAGGCCUUAGCCGGUCUGAGCAAGAGCUCGUAAGAGCAAACCUGGUUGUUUGGUUGCAACAUGUCAUACGCUGGAUAACAUGACAUAAAACAACUCCAAUGGUGUGGGCGCGUCGUGGACGGUGACUCACUCAUGAAGGGGAGUUAUGUUACGAGUGCACAGGGAAGUGGAAUUGAUUUUUUUGCGCCUGUUGGUUGCCCGCACGGGCGAGCCAAAUUGGCUCUACUUUAGGAGCAAGGUUUUGACAGCGGUUAUUAGGUUAAUUGCCACCAAAAGCUAGAUUUUUCUGUCCAUACCAAACGCCUAACCUUGUCCAGCAAGGCUCGUUUAGUUUUUGCCUUAGAUACAAACGCACCCUAAGUCGCUCUGCCAUUACCAGCAACAUAAGUAUGGCCACAGUCACAAUAAAAUUUUACUUUACAAAUGGAAGACUAUUAGUUUCCCCCUAAGUACUAGUAUUACUAGUAGCUAGGUACAGUAAGAGCAGGCUGCAACUACUCUAUACCUACUAAUAAAAGAAAUAGGUAUUCUUAGUCCAUCCUGCUAUUUUAUAAAAAGCCCCCUGAUUUUUCUGACAUUAAACCCGUAAUAAAUAUCAAAAUCAAAUGUUUUUUAAAAUACUCAUAUCUUCUAAACUGUAACUCCAAAUUUAACAUGUCAUAUAUCAAUUUUGAUUAGAAAAAUAUGUAGAAUCUGGAUAUAAUGUUAUUAGAAAAAGAGUAGCGUUGCUGCCUCAAAACUUGUGGUGUACGGACACUAGUUGAUUUACGCACGCUACAAUAUGUAACUGUUUUUUUUGUGUGUGUGUGUGUGUGAACCAACCCGGGGUUGAGUGUUAGAGGUCGGUGGUAUCCUCAGCCUACCAGGAUUCAAAUCCUGAUGAUCACAUUUAUCCUGUAUUUAUUUUAGAAUUUCUGAUGCUUAAUUUCUUGGAGGAUCUCAUAGAAGUAGGAUGUGUAUAUGUGCGUUCAUAUGAUUGAGUGUAUGCGCGUAUAUAUGAGGCUUGCAUCCGUACUAUGUUAAAAAAUAUAUGUAGAUUUUACAAAGAUGUAUAGAAUCUUUAUAUCUCAUGGCAAUGAACGGACACGUUCAAAACUGAACACCGUAGUAUGGUGUGGACCGACCAGGGUUGGAAAUCGGUCUCCGUGUCCGAAUUCGCCUGUGACACGCUGUUGUGGUCACCCGGCGUAGCGGGACCUCUUAAAAGCCCACGGGAUGACGACCUCGGGGCCUCGUCAAGAGAGAAGCCACGCACGAGGACGAAGAGCAACCGAACGACAAGCGAUCGAUCGCGUCCUUUUCGAUCAGAAGAUCAGAGCUGAUAGAUGGCGCACGGGCAGGAGUCGUCGCCGACGCAGGCCGCCGGCGCCGGCACCGCAGUGCUGUGCACGAACGGCUGCGGGUUCUACGGGAACGCGGCGACCGAGAACAUGUGCUCCAAGUGCUAGCGCGACCACCUCAAGGCCACCGACAUGGUUGCCCCCGCCGUCGAGGGGAAGACGACGGUCAAGGCCGACGACGCGGCCAACCUCGCCUUCAACCUCAAGACGUCGCUGAGCCUGCAGGAUCACUCUGCAGCUGCCGCCGCCGAGGUGCCGACCGCCGAAGCGCCGGCGAAGAAGCCGACCAGGUGCAUGGCGUGCAAGAAGAAGGUGGGGCUGCUGGGGUUCGCCUGCAGGUGCGGUGGCACCUUCUGCUCGCUGCACCGCUACGUGGACGGGCAUGCGUGCGACUUCGACUACAAAAAGGCCGGCCGUGAGAAGAUCGCGCAGCAGAACCCUCUCGUCGUGGCACCCAAGAUCCAGAACAAGAUUUGAAGGCACAAGGAGUUCAAGAACUUGUAAAGCGUUUUUUUUUCUGGGGACAUGUACAUAGUUACUACCUCUCCUCGUUAGAUCUUUCACGUAUGCUCUAUCUUUUUAAGUUGAAGAGAGCCGAUGUUGAUUUUUCUUGUUAAUUAUUUGUAGUCAUCUAUUCAUACAGAUUGGUGUAAAUACGUACCAUCGUGUUAUUCAAUCGUUCUUGUCCGAUGGUACAAUGGUGAACCCGGCGAGUUUGGAGGCAACUCGGCGACUAGGGUUUGUAUCUAGUCCUAAGCUUGAUGAUGAUGUUUACCAUAUAGAACUUGGAUCCGCUGUGCAGACCUCUCCUCCCUUUAUGUAGGGCUAGCGAGAUGGUGUGAACUCUCAGAAAGGGUUCAUCAAGGUUACACCUGACUCUUUUUUGAGCACCAAGUUGGCUCGCCGUCACCGACAGGCCUUCCAAUGCUUAAGAGAGAUAUCUGCAGGAUAUCUUCUGGGAUCUCUUAAAACCCAGGACUUAUAGUUGAAAUAAUCUGCUACUAGAAGGUGGAGGUGCGGCGGCACGCCGCACCUGUCAUGAAGCCCAUGUCUGUGGCUGCGUUGUUUUUCUUAUAGUAGAAGAAAAGAGGGCAUUGCGUAAGUAAGCUAGCAGUCCGUAUGUGCAAGCCAAUUUAACUUAGAUAAAUGGGAAUGUAUAAGCUAGCAGUCCGUAUGUGCAGGCCUUGUUCGGUUACGCCCAGCCCAGCGAGGUUUCGGGUUCAAUCCACGCGGGUCCGCAGGGAUUACCCCCACCGGGGAAUAAACCCGGCCCAUCCAGUUUUUCUCGUUCGGUUAAGCCCCGCGUUGUAUUUCCUCGGCCCAAACCCCUCCAAACCCACGCGGAAAACAUCAUCCACUAGCACCCCGUGGAAGGAAUCCCCGAGCGAGGCGCUCGUCUCAUCUCUCCCGAGCGACAGAAGCGGCGGCAAGGAGGCGGCGGGGACGAGCGGACGACGGCGGCGCAACCUACCCGGAGGAGGAGGGUGCCCUCCUGCUUCGACGACCUGCCACGAAGCCCGCCGGAACCCUAGCCUCUGAUUGUCCCAUCUCCCCCGCCGCCCCCUUGCCGCGGGCCCGCGGCCAGAACCCUAGCUCCGGAGAAGUGGUUGCUGCAGGCGAGGAGAUCUCUGGUUAGUUCUCUCUCUCCCUCCCCCCCCUCCCUCCCACCGCCUCUCUCUCUAGCAGCACUGAUUUGCCCCCUCCAUGAAAACCUAGACAAAUAUUGAUCUGUCUUCCCGAAUGUGGUCGUCAAGGUCAAGACUUUUCUUGGGGUUUCCUAGGAACUAGCAUCAAUUGUUAUUUCAUGAUUUGUCUUCCCGAAUGUGGUCGUCAAGAUCUGUCUUCCCCUUGUUAGUAAUUUGUACUGGAGUCAGCAGUACAAUUUUGUGUUAGUAAAUGGAGUCAGCAGUACGAUUUGGUGUUAGUAAUUUGGAUUUGUUUUAUUUUUCUCGACAUAAUUAUUGUAGUAGUAGUAUAAUUGUUAGUCUAUCUCUUGGUAUAAAGAAGGACUAUCUAAUCUGGAGGAACAACAAUGCAUGUUGUUUUUGUUGCUGGCUGCUGAUAGUACAGUAUGAUGUUCGUCCCAAAAUGUAGUAUGUGAACCUAAUCUCUGUUAGCAGCAGAGCACAUACUUCCAAAGAUUUUUUAUGUCCGAACAAAAGAUACUUCGGGUAUGAUCAUUGGUAGAUUAUAUAAUUGUUCUCUUCAUGGUGUAUGAUUAUCAUCUGUUCUUCAUUGGUACACAUUGCAGCUGUCCUUUUUUUCUAGUGUUGUCCUUUUUGUUAGAUGAUGUUCCAAUGCCAGAUAUUUUGAUGAUGCCAGAUAUAAGCUAGCUUCGCCGCCUCACAGCUGCAGCAAGACCCUGAAUUGGGCAGCAUCGUGAAGGACAAGGUAGAUUAAUCCUCUUGUUUUAAUCUUCUCCUUAUUCAUGUACUGGUUGUUAUUAUUGUUUGGUCGAUAGAUCUGUGUUACAAACUGUUUUUUUGGUAAGCUGAGAGCUAUGUUAAUAUCUUACAUACUAGACAUUGUAGUUGUUGAAGAAUUUUAGCUCUUACUACAGUUGUUUUUUUUGGUAAACUGUUUGUUUGUACAACUUGCACUCUUACUGUUUUGGUGUAGUAGUAAUAACUAGCCACAUUUUUCUUCUUUAGACUUGGAAUGGAUCCUGAAAUGAGGGAUCGUGUUAGGAAAAGGGAGGAGGAGGAUGACGAAAUGAUGUUAUUUGUUUUCCCUGCACUACAUUUGAUAGAGACCGAUGGAGUUGCUCUUAGGGAGCGGAGGAUUCCGCGUCAUACAUCAUCGCUAACAGGCGAGAUGUUUGUUAAGGAGUUACUCGAAGGGCACGUCAAAAACUGUCGGGUAGCAUUUAGGAUGGAGCCGCGUAUCUUCAAAUCUUUGGCUAAUUAUCUUCGAAGGGAGAAGUUGGUGAAAGAUACCAGAAUUAAAGUCGAAGAGAAACUAGCAUCAUUUCUGUGGAUGUUAUCCCAUAAUUCUUCAUUUGAAGACCUUCAAGUUCGGUUUGGUCACAGCGGGGAUACUUUCCAUUGGCAAAUGAAGAAUUUCUUUGACAUCAUCCCUAUUCUCUCCAAGCAUUUUUUGAAGCCUCCAAAUCCCAGUCAAGUGCAUCCGAAGAUUCAGUCGGACACGAGAUUCUUUCCUUAUUUUCAGGUUUUUGCUUCGCCAACUUUGAUCCACAUCGAUAACUUACUCUUCAUGUUAUAGGUGCUAAGUUAUAGUAUUUCAUUGUAGAACUGCAUUGGGGCAAUUGAUGGGACACAUGUUCCCAUAACAAUUUCAGGAGAAAAAGCCGCACCAUUCAGAAAUAGGAAAGGGACCCUAAGCCAUAAUGUUAUGGUCGUGUGCGACUUGGACCUGAACUUCACCUUCAUUUCUUGUGGCUGGGAGGGAUCUGCUACCGAUGCUAAAGUUCUCCGGUCAGCACUUAAUAGUGGGUUUCAUGUACCUCCGGGCAAGUUUUAUCUGGUUGAUGGUGGUUAUGCCAACACACCUUACUUCUUGGCACCGUAUCGUGGUGUUCGGUACCAUCUGAAGGAGUUUGCACGCGGUCGCCAUCGACCCCAAAAUCACAGCGAGCUAUUCAAUCUCCGGCAUGCCGUGUUACGAAAUCACGUCGAACGGGGAUUAGGAAUCUUGAAGAAGCGGUUCCCAAUCCUAAAAGUGGGCACGCAUCAUCGAAUAGAGAACCAAGUCAAGCUACCAGCAGCGGCGGCAAUCUUACAUAACAUCAUCCGAUCUAAAAAAGGAGAUGAGCGUUGGUUAGAUAACCAACCAAACAAUAUACCUGUCAUGAAUUUUGUUGAUCUUCCUGACGGUGAUAUUCCUCAAAAUCAUCAAAUCAACCAUGAAGGCGACAACCUUAGAGAUGCCAUUGCUCAUCAAAUGUGGGCUGAUUAUCGACAUGUAUAACUUGUCAUUUGUAGUGUAGUAGUAAUAAGUAUAGUGUAGACGUUUAUGUUUUUUUUUCUGUUGUUCAUGUCAUGAAUAUUGUUCAGAAGUCACUAUGAUGACUGCUCGAGGGUCACCAAGGUUGAGCCUCCUCAAAAAAGCUGUCGAAAGGGAUAGAGCAUCACCUCCUACAAGCAGUGUGACAAAGAGGAUGAGAGGGUCUCCCAAAGGUAAUAAACUAGCCGUGACUUUAUUUCUCUUGUCGGGACUUUGGGGGUGUUUGUUUCAGAAGUCCUAGGACUUUUUCUAGUCCCAGGGACUAAUCAAAAAAGACUCUCCAAUAGAGUCUUUUUCUAGUCCCUGUAGAAAAAGUCCCUCCCGUUUGGUUUCUAGGGACUUUUUAGGGACUUUUUCUAGUCUCUGGGACUAAAAAGUCCCUGAAACAAACACCCCCUUUAUUUGCUUAAAACCAAAAUAGUUAAGAUAGAAAAAGGUACAUUAACAUACAAUGUGGAAAUGCAGAAGAUAGAGCACAGUGGAAUGCAAGCCUUGAGAAAGAUCUUGUGGACUUGCUUCGUGAGCAUGAUACACCUGAACAUAAGGGUCAAAAUGGAUGGAGCUCAGAAGCAUGGAAUACGAUAGUGAAGAAAUUCCACCAAAAGAAUCCUUAUGCUAGGUACGAGAAGAAGAAAAUCCAAGAAAAGGAAAAAGAGUUGAAAAGAGAAUACAAGAUGAUCAAAGAGAUAAGGAAGCAAAGCGGCGUUUCAUGGGAUGACCGGCAGUGCAGGAUUCUAGCGGAUCCACCACUUUGGAAAAACAUCAUCAUAGUAAGAAUGUCAUUGUUAUUCCCUAAAAGUUUCAUUACUUGUUGCAUGCUCCAAUAUCAUUUUCUUGUCAACUAUGUAGUCACACCCUAAAGUUGGAAAGUUCAAGACAAAAGCCUUCCCUCUUUUUGAAGCUUUGGGAGAAUUGCAUGAUGGUUAGUUAUCAACUUCAUUCAUAUACUCAUGUCAUUGUUUUAUGUUUGUUUACUCUUCUAGUUUGAAAUCUUAUAUUUGAUUGUCACUUUAACUUGUAGGCCAAACUGCAAAAGGGACAUAUAACUUCACCUCUAUCGAGUCAUCACAUUGCUCAACCCAAUUAGAUCUCGAGAAUCUUGGAGGAGCUAGCAAGAAUCAAGGAGAAACAUCAGUUGAUGGUGAGAAUCUUGGAGGAGAAAGGGUGCAGAUUGAUGAAGAUGUUGAGGAGGUUUACGUGCAAGAAAACAUUGAUGUGGAGCCCGAGCAAACUCAACCAAAUUUGGCUACUGCACCCUCAAGAAAUGGAGAAGAGAAAGAACCAAAGAGAAGGAGGGGGGCGAAUGGUGAUGUGGCUGCAAUGAUGGAGAAGUACUUGGACAUAAGGACGAAGCAGGUGGAGGAUGAGAGGAAUAAGCCAAAGGUCGUGGAUGAGUACUCUAUCAAAAACUGCAUUGAUCUGCUGAAAACAAUGGAGAUCACACUUGAAGAAGAAGUCAAGGCUUUCCGAGUCUUCAAGAUCCCCUAGAACCGAGAGAUUUUCGUGAGUGCCAGACCGGAGACUGCUCUUAUGUGGCUGAGAGCUGAAAUGGAAUAACUGAGGUACUCCUCUUUUCAAUUAGUGCAUGUUACUAAACUCCUUGCUAGCCAUUUAGUCCAUGUUGUUGUUGUUGCUGCUGCUAUAAAGACAUUAUUUUCUGCUGAAAUGGAUAGUUGUGUUAAAUAUAUUUAUGAAGUUAUUUUGCAAACUAUUAGACUGACUGGUUAUAGGAAUACUUUGCUUGAAUAAUACAACCUUUUUUCAAAUGAUUGCUUGAUGUAUCGACACAGGUUGACAAGUGCUUGUGUUGUAGCUAGGCUAGGCUGAUUUUCUUGUGGUUGUAGUCCGGAUCAGUGUCAAAGCUUGCAUCAACGUAACCUCUUACGGUGAGCUCUUUGUCACCUCCAUAUACGAGAAACAUAUCCUUAGUCCUUUUCAGGUAUUUCAGGAUGUUCUUGACCGCUGUCCAGUGAUCCACUCCUGGAUUACUUUGGUACCUCCCUGCUAAACUUAUAGCAAGGCACACAUCAGGUCUGGUACACAGCAUUGCAUACAUGAUAGAGCCUAUGGCUGAAGCAUAGGGAACAUCUUUCAUUUUCUCUCUAUCUUCUGCAGUGGUCGGGCAUUGAGUCUAACUCAACUUCACACCUUGUAACACAGGCAAGAACCCUUUCUUUGCUUGAUCCAUCUUGAACUUCUUCAAAAUCUUGUCAAGGUAUGUGCUUUGUGAAAGUCCAAUUAAGCGUCUUGAUCUAUCUCUAUAGAUCUUAAUGCCCAAUAUGUAAGCAGCUUCACCGAGGUCUUUCAUUGAAAAACUCUUAUUCAAGUAUCCCUUUAUGCUAUCCAGAAAUUCUACAUCAUUUCCAAUCAGCAAUAUGUCAUCCACAUAUAAUAUUAGAAAUGCUACAGAGCUCCCACUCACUUUCUUGUAAAUACAGGCUUCUCCAAAAGUCUGUAUAAAGCCAAAUGCUUUGAUCACACUAUCAAAGCGUUUAUUCCAACUCCGAGAUGCUUGCACCAGUCGAUAAAUGGAUCGCUGGAGUUUGCACACUUUGUUAGCUCCCUUUGGAUCGACAAAACCUUCCGGUUGCAUCAUAUACAACUCUUCUUCGAGAAAUCCAUUCAGGAAUGCAGUUUUGACAUCCAUCUGCCAAAUUUCAUAAUCAUAAAAUGCGGCAAUUGCUAACAUGAUUCUGACAGACUUAAGCAUCGCUACGGGUGAGAAUGUCUCAUCAUAGUCAACCCCUUGAACUUGUCGAAAACCUUUUGCAACAAGUCGAGCUUUAUAGACAGUAACAUUACCGUCAGCGUCAGUAUUUUUCUUGAAGAUCCAUUUAUUCUCAAUUGCUUGCUGAUCAUCAGGCAAGUCAACCAAAGUCCAUACUUUGUUCUCAUACAUGGAUCCCAUCUCAGAUUUCAUGGCCUCAAGCCACUUUGCGGAAUCUGGGCUCACCAUCGCUUCUUCAUAGUUCGUAGGUUCAUCAUGAUCUAGUAGCAUGACUUCCAGAACUGGAUUACCGUACCACUCUGGCGCGGAUCUUGCUCUGGUUGAUCUACGAGGUUCAGUAGUAUCUUGUUCUGAAGUUUCAUGAUCAUUAUCAUCAACUUCCUCACUUAUUGGUGUAGGUGUCGCAGAAACAGUUUUCUGUGAUGUACUACUUUCUAAUAAGGGAGCGGGUACAGUUACCUCAUCAAGUUCUACUUUCCUCCCACUCACUUCUUUCGAGAGAAACUCCUUCUCGAGAAAUUUUCCGAAUUUAGCAACAAAAGUCUUGCCUUCGGAUCUGUGAUAGAAGGUGUAUCCAAUAGUUUCCUUUGGAUAUCCUAUGAAGACACAUUUUUCCGAUUUGGGUUCGAGCUUAUCAGGUUGAAGCUUUUUCACAUAAGCAUCGCAACCCCAAACUUUAAGAAACGACAACUUUGGUUUCUUGCCAAACCACAGUUCAUAAGGCGUCGUCUCAACUGAUUUUGAUGGUGCCCUAUUUAACGUGAAUGCGGCCGUCUCUAAAGUGUAUCCCCAAAAUGAUAGCGGUAAAUCAGUAAGAGACAUCAUAGAUCGUACCAUAUCUAGUAAAGUACGAUUACGACGUUCGGACACACCAUUACGCUGUGGUGUUCCGGGUGGCGUGAGUUGCGGAACUAUUCCACAAUUUUUCAAAUGUACACCAAACUCGUAACUUAAAUAUUCUCCUCCACGAUCAGAUCGUAGAAACUUUAUUUUCUUGUUACGAUGAUUUUCAACUUUACUCUGAAAUUCCUUGAACUUUUCAAAUGUUUCAGACUUGUGUUUCAUCAAGUAGAUAUACCCAUAUCUGCUUAAAUCAUCUGUGAAGGUGAGAAAAUAACGAUAUCCGCCACGAGCCUCAAUAUUCAUCGGACCACAUACAUCGGUAUGUAUGAUUUCCAAUAAAUCUGUUGCUCUCUCCAUAGUACCGGAGAACGGUGUUUUAGUCAUUUGCCCAUGAGGCACGGUUCGCAAGUACCAAGUGAUUCAUAAUCAAGUGGUUCCAAAAGUCCAUCAGUAUGGAGUUUCUUCAUGCGCUUUAUACCGAUAUGACCUAAACGGCAGUGUCACAAAUAAGUUGCACUAUCAUUAUCAACUCUGCAUCUUUUGGCUUCUACAUUAUGAAUAUGUGUAUCACUACUAUCGAGAUUUAACAAGAAUAGACCACUCUUCAAGGGUGCAUGACCAUAAAAGAUAUUACUCAUAUAAAUAGAACAAGCAUUAUUCUCUGAUUUAAAUGAAUAACCGUCUCGCAUUAAACAAGAUCCAGAUAUAAUGUUCAUGCUCAACGCUGGCACCAAAUAACAAUUAUUUAGGUCUAAUAUUAAUCCCGAAGGUAGAUGUAGAGGUAGCGUGCCGACCGCGAUCACAUCGACUUUGGAACCGUUUCCCACGCGCAUCGUCACCUCGUCCUUAGCUAAUCUUCGCUUAAUCCGUAGUCCCUGUUUCGAGUUGCAAAUAUUAGCAACAAAACCAGUAUCAAAUACCCAGGUGCUACUGCGAGCAUUAGUAAGGUACACAUCAAUAACAUGUAUAUCACAUAUACCUUUGUUCACCUUGCCAUCCUUCUUAUCCGCCAAAUACUUGGGGCAGUUCCGCUUCCAGUGACCAGUCUGCUUGCAGUAGAAGCACUCAGUUUCAGGCUUAGGUCCAGAUUUGGGUUUCUUCUCCUGAGCAGCAACUUGCUUGCCGUUCUUCUUGAAGUUCCCCUUCUUCUUCCCUUUGCCCUUUUUCUUGAAACUAGUGGUUUUGUUAACCAUCAACACUUGAUGCUCCUUCUUGAUUUCCACCUCCGCAGCUUUCAGCAUUGCGAAGAGCUCGGGAAUAGUCUUGUUCAUCCCUUGCAUAUUAUAGUUCAUCACGAAGCUCUUGUAGCUUGGUGGCAGUGAUUGGAGAAUUCUGUCAAUGACGCAAUCAUCUGGAAGAUUAACUCCCAUCUGAAUCAAGUGAUUGUUAUACCCAGACAUUUUGAGUAUAUGCUCACUGACAGAACUGUUCUCCUCCAUCGUGCAGCUAUAGAACUUAUUGGAGACUUCAUAUCUCUCAAUCCGGGCACUUGCUUGAAAUAUUAACUUCAACUCCUGGAACAUCUCAUAUGCUCCAUGACGUUCAAAAUGUCGUUGAAGUCCCGAUUCUAAGCCGUAAAGCAUGGCACACUGAACUAUCGAGUAGUCAUCAGCUUUGCUCUGCCAGACGUUCAGAACAUCUGGUGUUGCUCCAGCAGCAGGCCUGGCACCCAGCGGUGCUUCCAGGACGUAAUUCUUCUGUGCAGCAAUGAGGAUAAUCCUCAAGUUACGGACCCAGUCCGUGUAAUUGCUACCAUCAUCUUUCAACUUUGCUUUCUCAAGGAACGCAUUAAAAUUCAACGGAACAACAGCACGAGCCAUCUAUCUACAAUCAACAUAAACAAGCAAGACACUAUCAGGUACUAAGUUCAUGAUAAAUUUAAGUUCAAUUAAUCAUAUUACUUAAGAACUCCCACAUAGAGAGACAUCCCUCUAAUCCUCUAAGUGAUCACGUGAUCCAAAUCAACUAAACCAUGUCCGAUCAUCACGUGAUAUGGAGUAGUUUCAUCGGUGAACAUCAUUAUGUUGAUCAUAUCUACUAUAUGAUUCACGCUCUACCUUUCGGUCUCCGUGUUCCGAGGCCAUAUCUGUAUAUGCUUGGCUCGUCAAGUAUAACCUGAGUAUUCCGCGUGUGCAACUAUUUUGCACCCGUUGUAUUUGAACGUAGAGCCUAUCACACCCGAUCAUCACGUGGUGUCUCAGCACGAAGAACUUUCGCAACGGUGCAUACUCAGGGAGAACACUUCUUGAUAAUUUAGUGAGAGAUCAUCUUAUAAUGCUACCGUCAAUCAAAGCAAGAUAAGAUGCAUAAAAGAUAAACAUCACAUGCAAUCAAUAUAAGUGAUAUGAUAUGGCCAUCAUUAUCUUGUGCUUGUGAUCUCCAUCUCCGAAGCACCGUCAUGAUCACCAUCGUCACCGGCGCGACACCUUGAUCUCCAUCGUAGCAUCGUUGUCGUCUCGCCAAUCUUAUGCUUCCACGACUAUCACUACCGCUUAGCAAUAAAGUAAAGCAUUACAUCGCGAUUGCAUUGCAUACAAUAAAGCGACAACCAUAUGGCUCCUGCCAGUUGCCGAUAACUUGGUUACAAAACAUGAUCAUCUCAUACAAUAAAAUCAACAUCAUGCCUUGACCAUAUCACAUCACAACAUGCCCUGCAAAAACAAGUUAGACGUCCUCUACUUUGUUGUUGCAAGUUUUACGUGGCUUCUACGGGCUUAAGCAAGAACUCAUCUCACCUACGCAUCAAAACCACAACGAUAGUUUGUCAAAUAGACUCCGUUUUAACCUUCUCAAGGACCGGGCGUAGCCACACUCGGUUCAACUAAAGUUGGAGAGACAGUCGCCCGCAAGCCAUCUAUGUGCAAAGCACGUCGAGGGAACCGGUCUCGCGUAAGCGUACGCGUAAGGUUGGUCCGGGUCGUCUCGUCCAACGAUACCGCCAAACCAAAGUAUGACAUGCUGGUAUGCAGUAUGACUUGUAUCGCCCACAACUCACUUGUGUUCUACUCGUGCAAAUAACAUCAAACCAUAAAACCUAGGCUCGGAUGCCACUGUUGGGGAACGUAGUAAUUUCAAAAAAUUUCCUACGCACACGCAAGAUCAUGGUGAUGCAUAGCAACGAGGGGGAGAGUCUGAUCUACGUACACUUGUAGAUCGCAACGGAAGCGUUGACACAACGUAGAGGAAGUAGUCGUACGUCUUCUUCCCGGUCCGACCGAUCCAAGCACCGUUACUCCGGCACCUCCGAGUUCUUAGCACACGUACAGCUCGAUGACGAUCCCCGGGCUCCGAUCCAGCAAAGCUUCGGGGAGGAGUUCCGUCAGCACGACGGCGUGGUGACGAUCUUGAUGUUCUACCGACGCAGGGCUUCGCCUAAGCACUGCAACGAUAUGAUCGAGGUGGAAUAUGGUGGCAGGGGCACCGCACACGGCUAAGGAACGAUCUCAAGGAUCAACUUGUGUGUCUUGGGGUGCCCCCUGCCCCCGUAUAUAAAGGAGCAAGGGGAGGAGGCGGCCGGCCAAGGUGUGGCGCGCCAAGGGGAGUCCUACUCCCACUGGGAGUAGGACUCCUAGUUGGACUAGGAGAGAAGGGGGAGAAUAGGAGGAAGAGAGGAAGGAAAGGGGGGGGGGGGCGCCGGCCCCCUUCCCUUGUCCUAUUCGGACUAGGAAGGGGAGGGGCGCGCGGCCACCUCUUGCCUCCUCUCCUCUUCUCCCUUAAGGCCCAUGUUGGCCCAAUAACCCCCCGGGGGGUUCCGGUAACCCCCCCCCCCGGUACUCCGGUAAAAUGCCGAUUUCACCCGGAACAAUUCCGAUGUCCAAAUAUAGGCUUCCAAUAUAUCAAUCUUUAUGUCUCGACCAUUUCGAGACUCCUCGUCAUGUCCGUGAUCACAUCCGGGACUCCGAACUAACUUCGGUACAUCAAAAUGCAUAAACUCAUAAUAACUGCCAUCGUAACAUUAAGCGUGCGGACCCUACGGUUCGAGAACAAUGUAGACAUGACCGAGACACGUCUCCGGUCAAUAACCAAUAGCGGGACCUGGAUGCCCAUAUUGGCUCCUACAUAUUCUACGAAGAUAUUUAUCGGUCAGACCGCAUAACAACAUACGUUGUUCCCUUUGUCAUCGGUAUGUUACUUGCCCGGGAUUCGAUCGUCGAUAUCCAAUACCUAGUUCAAUCUCGUUACUGACAAGUCUCUUUACUCGUUCCGUAAUACAUCAUCUAACAACUAACAUAUUAGUUGCAGUGCUUGCAAGGCUUAUGUCAUGUGCAUUACCGAGAGGGCCCAGAGAUACCUCUCCGACAAUCGGAGUGACAAAUCCUAAUCUCGAAAUACGCCAACCCAACAUCUACCUUUGGAGCCACCUGUAAUACUCCUUUAUAAUCACCCAGUUACGUUGUGACGUUUGGUAGUAAACAAAGUAUUCCUCCGGUAAACGGGAGUUGCAUAAUCUCAUAGUUAUAGGAACAUGUAUAAGUCAUGAAGAAAGCAAUAGCAACAUACUAAACGAUCGGGUGCUAAGCUAAUGGAAUGGGUCAUGUCAAUCAGAUCAUUCAACUAAUGAUGUGACCUCGUUAAUCAAAUAACAACUCUUUGUUCAUGGUUAGGAAACAUAACCAUCUUUGAUUAACGAGCUAGUCAAGUAGAGGCAUACUAGUGACACUCUGUUUGUCUAUGUAUUCACACAUGUAUUAUGUUUCCGGUUAAUACAAUUCUAGCAUGAAUAAUAAACAUUUAUCAUGAUAUAAGGAAAUAAAUAAUAACUUUAUUAUUGCCUCUAGGGCAUAUUUCCUUCACGAGUGGGCCCAAAGAUACCUCUCCGCUUACACGGAGUGACAAAUCCCAGUCUCGAUUCGUGCCAACCCAACAGACACUUUCGGAGAUACCUGUAGUGCACCUUUAUAAUCACCCAGUUACGUUGUGACGUUUGGCACACCCAAAGCACUCCUACGGUAUCCGGGAGUUGCACAAUCUCUUGGUCUAAGGAAAUGAUACUUGACAUUAGCAAAGCUUUAGCAUACGAACUACACGAUCUGGUGCUAUGAUUAGGAUUGGGUCUUGUCCAUCACAUCAUUCUCCUAAUGAUGUGAUCCAGUUAUCAACGACAUCCAAUGUCCAUGGUCAGGAAACCGUAACCAUCUAUUGAUCAAUGAGCUAGUCAACUAGAGGCUUACUAGGGACAUGGUGUUGUCUAUGUAUCCACACAUGUAUCUGAGUUUCCUAUCAAUACAAUUCUAGCAUGGAUAAUAAACGAUUAUCAUGAACAAGGAAAUAUAAUAAUAAUCAAUUUAUUAUUGCCUCUAGGGCAUAUUUCCAACAGUCUCCCACUUGCACUAGAGUCAAUAAUCUAGUUCACAUCGCCAUGUGAUUAACACUCACAGGUCACAUCGCCAUGUGACUAACACCCAAGAGUUUACUAGAGUCAGUAGUCUAGUUCACAUCACUAUGUGAUUAACACUCAAUUAGUUCUAGGUUUGAUCAUGUUGCUCGUGAGAGAGGUUUUAGUCAACGGGUCUGAACCUUUCAGAUCCGUGUGUGCUUUACAAAUCUCUAUGUCAUCUCCUAGAUGUAUCUACCACGUUCUAUUUGGAGCUAUUCCAAAUAACUGUUCUACUUGGAGCUAUUCUAAAUUGUUGCUCCAUUAUACGUAUCCGGUAUCUCUACUCAGAGCUAUCCGGAUAGGUGUUAAGCUUGCAUCGACGUAACCCUUUACGACGAACUCUUUUACCACCUCCAUAAUCGAGAAAAAUUCCUUAGUCCACUAGUUACUAAGGAUAACUUUGACCGCUGUCCUGUGAUCCAUUCUUGGAUCACUCUUGUACCCCCUGACUGACUCAUGGCAAGGCACACUUCAGGUGCGGUACACAGCAUAGCAUACUGUAGAGCCUAUGUCUUAAGCAUAAGGGACGACUUUCGUCCUUUCUCUCUAUUCUGCCGUGGUCGAGCUUUAAGUCUUAACUUCAUACCUUACAACUCAGGCAAGAACUCCUUCUUUAACUGAUCCAUUUUGAACACCUUCAAGAUCAUGUCAAGGUAUGUGCUCAUUUGAAAGUACCAUUAAGCGUUUUGAUCUAUCCUUACAGAUCUUGAUGCUCAAUGUUCAAGUAGCUUAAUCUAGGCUUUCCAUUGAAAAACACUUUCCAAAUAACCCUAUAUGCUUUCCAGAAAUUCUACAUCAUUUCUGAUCCUUAAUAUGUCAACAACAUAUACUCAUCAGAAAUUCUAUAGUGCUCCAACUCACUUCUUUGGAAAUACAAGUUUCUCAUAAACUUUGUAUACACCAAAAUCUUUGAUCAUCUCAUCAAAGCAUACAUUCCAACUCCGAGAUGCUUACUCCAGUCCUUAGAAGGAUUGCUGGAGCUUUGCAUACUUAUUAGCAUCUUUCAGGAUUGAUAAAACCUUCCGGUUGUAUCACAUACAACCUUUCCUCAAGAAAAUCAUGAGGAAACAAUGUUUUGACAUCCUAUCUGCAAGAUUUCAUAAAUAACGCAGUAAUCGCUAAUAUAAUUCCAACAGACUCCUAGCAUCGCUAUGAGUGAGAAAGUCUCAUCAUAGUCAACUCCUUGAACUUGUCGGAAAACAUCUUAACGACAAGUCGAGCUUUCUUAAUGGUGAUAAUUAUCAUCAUUGUCCGUCUUCCUUUUAAAAUCCAUCUGUACCUAACAGCCUUACGACCAUCAAGUAGUUCUUCCAAAGUCUACACUUUGUUUUCAUAUAUGGAUCCUCUCUCGGAUUAUAUGGCCUCGAGCCAUUUAUCGGAAUCCAGGCCCACCAUCGCUUCUCCAUAGCUCGUAGGAUCAUUGUUGUCUAGCAACAUGACUUCCAAGACAGGAUUAUGUACCACUCUGAAGUAGUACGCAUCCUUGUCAUCCGACGAGGUUUGGGAGUGACUUGAUCCGAUCAUCAAGUCUCCACCAUCCUCCCACUCAAUUCUUUCGAGAGAAACUUUUCCUCGAGAAAGGACCCGAUUCUAGAAACAAUCCCUUAUUGCUUUCGGAUCUGAGGCAGAAGGUAUACCCAACUGUUUUGGGUGUCCUAUGAAGAUGCAUUUAUCCGCUUUGGGUUCGAGCUUAUCAGCCUGAAAUUUUUUCACAUAAGCAUCGCAGCCCCAAACCUUUAAGAAAUGACAGCUUAGGUUUCUCUAAACCAUAGUUCAUACGGUGUCAUCUCAUCGGAAUUACGUGGUGCCCUAUUUAAAGUGAAUGUGGUUGUCUCCAAUGCCUAACCCAUAAACUAUUAUGGUAAUUCGAUAAGAAACAUCAUGGUAUGCAUCAUAUCCAAUAGGGUGCAGUUAUGAUGUUCGGACACACCAUCACACUAUGGUGUUCCAGGUUGUAUUAGUUGUGAAACAAUUUCCACAAUGUCUUAAUUCUGUGCCAAACUCGUAAUUCAGAUAUUCAUCUCUAUAAUCAUAUCAUAGAUCUUUUAUCCUCUUGUCACGACGAUCUUUCAACUUCACCCUGAAAUUACUUGAACCUUUCAAUAAUUCAGACUCGUGAUUCAUUAAGUAAAUAUUCUCAACAUCUACUCAAAUCAUCUGUGAAGUAAAACCAUAACGAUAUCCACUACACGCCUCAGCACUCAUUGGACUGCACACAUCAAAAUGUAUUACUUCCAGCAAGUUGCUUUCUAGUUCCAUUUUACUGAAACCGAGGCUUUCAGUCAUCUUGCCCAUGUGGUAUGAUUUGCAUGUCUCAAGUGAUUCAAAAUCAAGUGAGUCCAAACGAUCCAUCUGCAUGGAGUUUCUUCAUGCAUAUACACCAAUAGACACGGUUUGCAUGUCUCAAACUUUUCAAAAAUGAGUGAGUCCAAAGAUCCAUCAACAUGGAGCUUCUUCAUGCGUUUUAUACCGAUAUGACUUACGUGGCAGUGCCACAAGUAGGUGGUACUAUCAUUACUAUCUUUUGGCAUGAACAUGUGUAUCACUAUGAUCGAGAUUCAAUAAACCAUUCAUUUUAGGUGUAAGACCAUUGAAGGUAUUAUUCAAAUAAACAGAGUAACCAUUAUUCUCCUUAAAUGAAUAACCGUAUUGCGAUAGACAUAAUCCAAUCAUGUCUAUGCUCAACGCAAACACCAAUCUCGAUGGUAGAGGGAGCGUACGAUAUUUGAUCAACCUUGGAAAUACUUCCAAUACAUAUCGUUAUCUCACCUUUAGCUAGUCUCCGUUUAUUCCGCAGCUUUUAUUUCGAGUUACUAACACUUAGCAACCGAACCGGUAUCUAAUACCCUGGUGCUACUAGGAGUACCAGUAAAGUACACAUCAACACAAUGUAUAUCAAUAUACUUCUAUCGACCUUGCCAGCCUUCUCAUCUACCAAGUAUCUAGGGUAAUUCCGCUCCAGUGGCUGUUCCUCUUAUUACAGAAGCACUUAGUCUCGGGUUUGGGUUCAACCUUGGGUUUCUUCACUAGAGCAGCAGCUGAUUUGCCGUUUCACGAAGUAUCCCUUCUUGCCCUUGCCCUUCUUGAAACUAGUGGUUUCACUAACCAUCAACAAUUGAUUCUCCUUCUUGAUUUCUACUUUCGUGGUGUCAAACAUCACGAAUAUCGCAAGGAUCAUCAUAUAUGUCCCUGAUAUAUCAUAGUUCAUCACGAAGCUCUAGCAGCUUGGUGGUAAUGACUUCGGAGAACCAUCACUAUCUCAUCUGGAAGAUUAACUCCCACUAGAUUCAAAUGAUUGUUGUACUCAGACAAUCUGAGCACAAGCUCAACAAUUGAGCUUUUCUCCCUUAGUUUGCAGAUUAAGAAAAUCGUCGGAGGUCUUAUACCUCUUGACGUGGGCACGAGCCUGAAAUCCCAAUUUCAGCCCUCGAAACAUCUCAUAUGUUUCGCGACGUUUCAAAAACGUCUUCGGUGCCUCAACUCUAAACCGUUUAACUGAACUAUCACGUAGUUAUCAAAAUGUGUAUGUCAGAUGUUCGCAACAUCCACAGACAACGUUCGAGGUUCAGCACACUGAGCGGUGCAUUAAGGACAUAAGCCUUCUACGAAGCAAUGAGGACAAUCCUCAGUUUACGGAUCUAGUCCGCAUAAUUGCUACUAUCAACUUUCAACUAAUUUUUUCUCUAGGAACAUAUCUAAACAGUAGAACUAAAGCGCGAGCUACGACAUAAUUUGCAAAAUCCUUUUAACUAUGUUCAGGAUAAUUAAGUUCAUCUUAUGAACUCCCACUCAGAUAGACAUCCCUCUAGUCAUCUAAGUGAUUACAUGAUCCGAGUCAACUAGCCUGUGUCCGAUCAUCACGUGAGACGGACUAGUCAACGUCGGUGAACAUCUUCAUGUUGAUCGUAUCUUCUAUACGACUCAUGCUCGACCUUUCGGUCUUCUGUGUUCCGAGGCCAUGUCUGUACAUGCUAGGCUCGUCAAGUUAACCCUAAGUGUUUCGCGUGUGUAAAUCUGUCUUACACCCGUUGUAUGUGAACGUUAGAAUCUAACACCCGAUCAUCACGUGGUGCUUCGAAACACGAACUGUCGCAACGGUGCACAGUUAGGGGAGAACACUUCUUGAAAUUGUUGUAAGGGAUCAUCUUAUUUACUACCGUCGUUCUAAGCAAAUAAGAUGUAUAAACAUGAUAAACAUCACAUGCAAUCAAAUAGUGACAUGAUAUGGCCAUCAUCACUUUUCUCCUUUUGAUCUCCAUCUUCGGGGCUCCAUGAUCAUCAUCGUCACCGGCAUGACACCAUGAUCUCCAUCAUCAUGAUCUCCAUCAUCGUGUCUUCAUGAAGUUGUCUCGCCAACUAUUACUUCUACUACUACAGCUAACAUUUAGCAAUAAAGUAAAGUAAUUAAAUGAUGUUUAUGUUGACACGCAGGUCAUAAAUAAAUUAAGACAACUCCUAUGGCUCCUGCCGGUUGUCAUACUCAAAGACAUGCAAGUCGUGAUUCCUAUUACAAGAACAUGAUCAUCUCAUACAUCACAUAUAUCAUUCAUCACAUCCUUUGGCCAUAUCACAUCACAUAGCAUACCCUGCAAAAACAAGUUAGACGUCCUCUAAUUGUUGUUCGCAUGUUUGACGUGGCUGCUAUGGGUUUCUAGCAAGAACGUUUCUUACCUACUCAAAGACCACAACGUGAUAUGCCAAUUGCUAUUUACCCUUCAUAAGGACCCUUUUCAUCGAAUCCGAUCCGACUAAAGUGGGAGAGACAGACACCCGCCAGCCACCUUAUGCAACUAGUGCAUGUUUGUCGGUGGAACCGGUCUCACGUAAGAGUAUGUGUAAGGUUGAUCUGGGCCGCUUCAUCCCACGAUGCCGCCGAAUCAAGAUAAGACUAGUAACGGCAAGCAUAUUGAACAAAAUCAACGCCCACAACUACUUUGUGUUCUACUCGUGCAUAGAAUCUACGCAAUAGACCUAGCUCAUGAUGCCACUGUUGGGGAACGUAGCAGAAAUUCAAAAAUUUCCUACGUGUCACCAAGAUCUAUCUAUGGAGAGACUAGCAACGAGGGGGAGGAGAGUGCAUCUACAUACCCUUGUAGAUCGCUAAGCGGAAGCGUUCAAGUGAACGGGGUUGAUGGAGUCGUACUCGUCGUGAUUCAAAUCACCGAUGAUCAAGUGCCGAACGGACGGCACCUCCGCGUUCAACACACGUACAGCCCGGUGACGUCUCCCAUGCCUUGAUCCAGCAAGGAGAGAGGGAGAGGUUGAGGAAGACUCCAUCCAGCAGCAGCACAACGGCGUGGUGGUGAUGGAGGAGCGUGGCUAUCCUGCAGGGCUUCGCCAAGCACCACAGAAGAGGAGGAAGAAGAGACGCAGGGCUGCACCAAGAGAGAUUGAAUCGCGUGUGUUAUGGGCAGCCCCCUAGGCCUCAUAUAUAUAGGGGAAGGGGAGGUGCUGCACCCCCUCUAGGGUUCCCACCCCUAGGGGGGGCGGCAGCCCUAGAUGGCCAAGGGGUGGCGGCCAAGGGGGGGAGGAGAGGGAGGCGCGGGGUGUAUGGGCCUUAGGGCCCAUAUGCCCUUAGGGUUUGCCCCCUCUCCCCUUCUAGGCGCAUGGGCCUUAGUGGGGCUGGUGCCCUUGGCCCAUGUAGGCCAAGGAGCACUCCCUACAGCCCAUGUGCCCCCCCGGGGCAGGUGACCCCACUUGGUGGACCCCCGGGACCCUCCCGGUGGUCCCGGUACGUUACCGAUAAACCCCGAAACUUUUUCGGUGACCAAAACAGGACUUCCCAUAUAUAAAUCCUUACCUCCGGACCAUUCCGGAACUCCUCACGACGUCCGGGAUCUCAUCCGGGACUCCGAACAACAUUCGGUAACCACAUACAAACUUCCUUUAUAACCCUAGCGUCAUCGAACCUUAAGUGUGUAGACCCUACGGGUUCGGGAGACAUGCAGACAUGACCGAGACGUUCUCUGGUCAAUAACCAACAGUGGGAUCUGGAUACCCAUGUUGGCUCCCACAUGUUCCACGAUGAUCUCAUCGGAUGAACCACGAUGUCAAGGACUUAAUCAAUCCCGUAUACAAUUCCCUUUGUCUAGCGGUAUUGUACUUGCCCGAGAUUCGAUCGUCGGUAUCCCUAUACCUUGUUCAAUCUCGUUACCGGCAAGUAUCUUUACUCGUUCCGUAACACAUAAUCUCAUGAUCAACUCCUUGGUCACAUUGCGCAUAUGAUGAUGUCCUACCGAGUGGGCCCAGAGAUACCUCUCCGCUUACAUGGAGUGACAAAUCCCAGUCUCGAUUCGUGCCAACCCAACAGACACUUUCGGAGAUACCUGUAGUGCACCUUUAUAAUCACCCAGUUACGUUGUGACGUUUGGCACACCCAAAGCACUCCUACGGUAUCCGGAAGUUGCACAAUCUCAUGGUCUAAGGAAAUGAUACUUGACAUUAGCAAAGCUUUAGCAUACGAACUACACGAUCUAGUGCUUUGCUUAGGAUUGGGUCUUGUCCAUCACAUCAUUCUCCUAAUGAUGUGAUCCCGUUAUCAACGACAUCCAAUGUCCAUGGUCAGGAAACCGUAACCAUCUAUUGAUCAACGAGCUAGUCAACUAGAGGCUUACUAGGGACAUGGUGUUGUCUAUGUAUCCACACAUGUAUCUGAGUUUCCUAUCAAUACAAUUCUAGCAUGGAUAAUAAACGAUUAUCAUGAACAAGGAAAUAUAAUAAUAAUCAAUUUAUUAUUGCCUCUAGGGCAUAUUUCCAACACUUACUUCUUGGCACCAUAUCAUGGUGUUCGGUACCAUCUGAAGGAGUUUGCACGCGGUCGCCGUCGACCCCAAAAUCACAGGGAGCUAUUCAAUCUCCGGCAUGCCGUGUUACGAAAUCACGUCGAACGGGGAUUAGGAAUCUUGAAGAAGCGGUUCCCAAUCCUAAAAGUGGGCACGCAUCAUCGAAUAGAGAACCAAGUCAAGCUACCAGCAGCGGCGGCAAUCUUACAUAACAUCAUCCGAUCUGAAAAAGGAGAUGAGCGUUGGUUAGAUAACCAACCAAACAAUAUACCUUCAUGAAUUUUGUUGAUCUUCCUGACGGUGAUAUUCCUCAAAAUCAUCAAAUCAACCAUGAAGGCGACAACCUUAGAGAUGCCACUGCUCAUCAAAUGUGGGCUGAUUAUCGACAUGCAUAACUUUUCAUUUGUAGUGUAGUAGUAAUAAGUAUAGUGUAGACGUUUAUGUUUGUUUUUCUGUUGUUCAUGUCAUGAAUAUUGUUCAGAAGUCACUAUGAUGACUGCUCGAGGGUCACCAAGGUUGAGCCUCCUCAAAAAAGCUAUCGAAAGGGAUAGAGCAUCACCUCCUACAAGCAGUGUGACAAAGAGGAUGAGAGGGUCUCCCAAAGGUAAUAAACUAGCCGUGACUUUAUUUCUCCUGUCGGGACUUUGGGGGUGUUUGUUUCAGAAGUCCUAGGACUUUUUCUAGUCCCAGGGACUAAUCAAAAAAGACUCUCCAAUAGAGUCUUUUUCUAGUCCCUGUAGAAAAAGUCCCUCCCGUUUGGUUUCUAGGGACUUUUUAGGGACUUUUUCUAGUCUCUGGGACUAAAAAGUCCCUGAAACAAACACCCCCUUUAUUUGCUUAAAACCAAAAUAGUUAAGAUAGAAAAAGGUACAUUAACAUACAAUGUGGAAAUGCAGAAGAUAGAGCACAGUGGAAUGCAAGCCUUGAGAAAGAUCUUGUGGACUUGCUUCGUGAGCAUGAUACACCUGAACAUAAGGGUCAAAAUGGAUGGAGCUCAGAAGCAUGGAAUACGAUAGUGAAGAAAUUCCACCAAAAGAAUCCUUAUGCUAGGUACGAGAAGAAGAAAAUCCAAGAAAAGGAAAAAGAGUUGAAAAGANNNNNNNNNNNNNNNNNNNNNNNNNNNNNNNNNNNNNNNNNNNNNNNNNNNNNNNNNNNNNNNNNNNNNNNNNNNNNNNNNNNNNNNNNNNNNNNNNNNNNNNNNNNNNNNNNNNNNNNNNNNNNNNNNNNNNNNNNNNNNNNNNNNNNNNNNNNNNNNNNNNNNNNNNNNNNNNNNNNNNNNNNNNNNNNNNNNNNNNNNNNNNNNNNNNNNNNNNNNNNNNNNNNNNNNNNNNNNNNNNNNNNNNNNNNNNNNNNNNNNNNNNNNNNNNNNNNNNNNNNNNNNNNNNNNNNNNNNNNNNNNNNNNNNNNNNNNNNNNNNNNNNNNNNNNNNNNNNNNNNNNNNNNNNNNNNNNNNNNNNNNNNNNNNNNNNNNNNNNNNNNNNNNNNNNNNNNNNNNNNNNNNNNNNNNNNNNNNNNNNNNNNNNNNNNNNNNNNNNNNNNNNNNNNNNNNNNNNNNNNNNNNNNNNNNNNNNNNNNNNNNNNNNNNNNNNNNNNNNNNNNNNNNNNNNNNNNNNNNNNNNNNNNNNNNNNNNNNNNNNNNNNNNNNNNNNNNNNNNNNNNNNNNNNNNNNNNNNNNNNNNNNNNNNNNNNNNNNNNNNNNNGGGGGCGAAUGGUGAUGUGGCUGCAAUGAUGGAGAAGUACUUGGACAUAAGGACGAAGCAGGUGGAGGAUGAGAGGAAUAAGCCAAGGGUCGUGAAUGAGUACUCUAUCAAAAACUGCAUUGAUCUGCUGAAAACAAUGGAGAUCACACUUGAAGAAGAAGUCAAGGCUUUCCGAGUCUUCAAGAUCCCCGAGAACCGAGAGAUUUUCGUGAGUGCCGGACCGGAGACUGCUCUUAUGUGGCUGAGAGCUGAAAUGGAAUAACUCAGGUACUCCUCUUUUCAAUUAGUGCGUGUUACUAAGCUCCUUGCUAGCCAUUUAGUCCAUGUUGUUGUUGCUGCUGCUGCUAUAAAGACAUUAUUUUCUGCUGAAAUGGAUAGUUGUUUUAAAUAUAUUUAUGAAGUUCUUUUGCAAACUAUUAGACUGACUGGUUAUAGGAAUACUUUGCUUGAAUAAUACAACCUUUUUUCAAAUGAUUGCUUGAUGUAUCGACACAGGUUGACAAGUGCUUGUGUUGUAGCUAGGCUAGGCUGAUUUUCUUGUGGUUGUAGUAAUUGUCUAUUUCUAAACUGCUAUGAUGCCUUGUCCCUAGAAAAUAAAAAGGGAUGCUUUUAACAUAGAUCAGAGGAUAGAGAUUGAUUUACCUACUAUUUAUGUAUGUUUUUCUCAUUGUUUCCAUUCCUGGAAAUAAAACUGCCAAGUAUUUCACUCUCAAACUAAUUUUGGGUUUGAAUGGUUUCAAAAAGCAGGAGUUCUACAUAAGAAUGCUCCGGAAGAAGAGCGAAGGUGCCGCGACUUGGAUCUAUUUGUGUGCGCUUUUCAGUGGAAGGCUUCAUAUCUAUUCGCUGGGUUUUGUCCAUGUGAUAUUUGUAGAGAAACUAAACACUAUUUCUGAAACGACUGACUGUAGCGUGGAAGAAUUUGGGAGGAACUAAUAAUUAAGCUCUUGUGAUCUAUUCAACAUAUUAUAUAUUAUGUAUGCUCCAAAUUGCUAUUAUUUUUGUUAGUAUUUGUGCCCUGUUCAAAUCUUAGAAUUGUUGUUAUUGUUGGGAUAAUAAGUGUUUUAAACUGUCAGUGUUAUUGUCACUUCAGUCUGCAUCUGUGUCAUUACUGCAUGAGAAUUGUUGUUAUCUAUAUGUACCACUUCAUC